AGAGUUUGAUCCUGGCUCAGGAUGAACGCUAGCGACAGGCUUAACACAUGCAAGUCGAGGGGCAGCGGAGGCGAGAGCUUGCUCUCGCCUGCCGGCGACCGGCGCACGGGUGAGUAACACGUAUGCAACCUGCCCUUUGCAGGAGGAUAACCGGGAGAAAUUCCGACUAAUACUGCAUAACACUCCCUUACCACAUGGUUUGGGAGUCAAAGGAAGCAAUUCCGGCAAAGGAUGGGCAUGCGGCGCAUUAGCCAGUUGGCGGGGUAACGGCCCACCAAAGCGACGAUGCGUAGGGGUUCUGAGAGGAAGGUCCCCCACAUUGGUACUGAGACACGGACCAAACUCCUACGGGAGGCAGCAGUGAGGAAUAUUGGUCAAUGGGCGCAAGCCUGAACCAGCCAAGUCGCGUGAGGGAUGACGGUCCUAUGGAUUGUAAACCUCUUUUGUCAGGGAGCAAAGCCGCCCUCGUGAGGGCGGAAGGAGAGUACCUGAAGAAAAAGCAUCGGCUAACUCCGUGCCAGCAGCCGCGGUAAUACGGAGGAUGCGAGCGUUAUCCGGAUUUAUUGGGUUUAAAGGGUGCGUAGGCGGAAGAUUAAGUCAGCGGUCAAAUGUCGGUGCUCAACACCGGCCUGCCGUUGAAACUGGUUUUCUUGAGUGAGCGAGAAGUAUGCGGAAUGCGUGGUGUAGCGGUGAAAUGCAUAGAUAUCACGCAGAACUCCGAUUGCGAAGGCAGCAUACCGGCGCUCAACUGACGCUGAGGCACGAAAGCGUGGGGAUCGAACAGGAUUAGAUACCCUGGUAGUCCACGCAGUAAACGAUGAAUGCUAGCUGUCCGGGACGAAUGAGUCCUGGGUGGCACAGCGAAAGCGUUAAGCAUUCCACCUGGGGAGUACGCCGGCAACGGUGAAACUCAAAGGAAUUGACGGGGGC
rnacentral:rRNA from 1 species